AGCUCUCCGAGUGGUGUGGAUGUUUAUUGGGCCUAAAGCAUCCGUAGCUGGCUAAGUUAGUCCCUUGUUAAAUCCACCGAAUUAAUCGUUGGAUUGCGGGGGAUACUGCUUGGCUAGGGGACGAGAGAGGCAGACGGUAUUUCCGGGGUAGGGGUGAAAUCCUAUAAUCCCAGGAAGACCACCAGUGGCGAAGGCUGUCUGCUAGAACGCGCCCGACGGUGAGGGAUGAAAGCUGGGGGAGCGAACC
rnacentral:rRNA from 1 species